GUCCAUAUGGUGAAACUGGUAGACACAUCCGUCUCAAACACGGAUUCUUAACAGAGUAAAGGUUCGAAUCCUUUUGUGGACACCA
rnacentral:tRNA from 1 species